GCAGGUACAGAGGGAUGCUACCGGGCGACCGGAUGCGGAUCUCGAAAGCCUGUCCCAGUUCGGACUGGAGUCUGCAACCCGACUCCACGAAGUUGGAUUCGCUAGUAAUCGCGCAUCAGCCAUGGCGCGGUGAAUACGUUCCCGGGCCUUGUACACACCGCCCGUCAAGCCAUGGGAGCCGGGGGCGCCUGAAGUCCGGGACCGCGAGGACCGGCCUAGGGCGAAACUGGUAACUGGGGCUAAGUCGUAACAAGGUAGC
rnacentral:rRNA from 1 species